rnacentral:tRNA from 1 species
GCAAGUAAGGGGGUUUUGUUCCGGAGCUGAUUUGAAGUCAGUUUGUUCGCCGGUAGAUGGGUGGUGCUUGCU